GCCCGACGUUAAGACUUCAUUAAGCUUUACAGGCGUUUACUACGCGCAUCCAGUUUGUCUGGAUUCUUACCGAGUGGUUGGAGCCACUUUGUUUGACGCCUCCCUGUUAAACUCCUGAGAGCCGCCUUAUCCGCGGCUCUUUUUUU
rfam:Mesorhizobium loti strain TFLA 01-765 contig_9, whole genome shotgun sequence.